CUUUGUUGAGUUAUGGCCCCAUGCUCCUCCUGGGAAAGGAAGUUACUGAGCAAAGUGAGGAACACCCUUCUAGGAGGGGGCCAAGGCAGACACCUCUGUGAGUUUCUGAAAGACUACUGAACCUGAAACAGCCUGGGAAAGUGAGACCUGCGGAGAGGUGACCAGGAUGUGCAAACUAGCGGGAGGGAGCACCUGAGCUAACGGCUGGGCUAGAGAGCGGCCAAGAACAAGUUUACCUGGUGCAUUGAACAGGUGUCAUCUCUGACAUACAUCACUAAGCAUGAAGCCGACACAAAGGCGAUUUCCUCCUUCUCAUGGUGUUGCUAUUUGCACUUGACAGCAGGGUGUUCUGAGGCGGGCAGAGUGAGAAGAAGGAUGUGGCCGUGAUCUGGAUCACUGGGGCUCAGGCCCCGGCGACCUUCACCGUGAGCACAGCCUGUGCACGUCUGGGCUCCGAAGGACCAUCUCCUGGUAUCCUUCUCACAGAGGCAGAACAUGCAGGGCUUCUCCAGGGAAAGGCCCUGGAAACUGGGACUCCCUAACGGUUCUCCAAUUCUCUUUCUUCUAGUUGCCUAUCACUUUAAACACAUGAUGAAAACCCAAUUUUUGUCUACAUAGGCAAUAGAAGUAUCGGAUGCUAACCAAGCUUACUUUGCAAAAGAGUUCACACUCAGGUUACUUUAAAAAUCAAGCUCCCUCCGUGAAUUUUUCAAUAUUUAAAGUUAUCAGGUACUGUGUAUAUUGAUCGAAGAAGGGGAUAUAUGAAACUGACUCUUUAAUAGACUGCUGAGGCUUUUAAGUGUAUAUUUACAGAAAGAAUAAUACACUUUUUGGGGGUUCAGUUCUGAGUUUUAAGAAUUAUAUAAACUCAUGUAAUCCCAACGGUAAUCAAGCCAUAGAAUAAUUUCAUCACCCACUCAGAACUGUCUGAUGCUACUACAACUUCUCCUUCUAUCCCGAGCCCCGGACAAAUAUUCUUCUCUUUUCCAGAAUGUCAUAUGCAUUGUAGGCUACUGUCUAUUGUAUAAAUAUACUACAUAUUGUAUGCAUAUACCACACAAUGUAUGAAUAUGCUUAAUUAUCCAAGGGACACUUAGAGUGUUUCUAUUUUGGGGUGAUAAUGAAUAAAGCUGAACUAAUCAUCUAUGUAAAAA